rnacentral:misc_RNA from 1 species
AACAUGCAACAUAUCAUUGAGUUCAUCUGUAAAUCACUACUCGCAGCCACAAACAUACAGUGAUUCUGCAUCGUGUGAGACGGGAAUGAAUAAAAAAUCUGGGUUUUUAUCGUGUUAUGGCCAUGAUCUAAAGGUAGAAAAUGAACAUCGCCAUGUUGAUGCUCCAGGGUACAUCUUAAGGAGGCCAUUUAAUGGUAAUGGUGUUGGAUAUCAUCUAGGCCUUAGUAGCGGAUCGAUGGUGGCUGAUAAUAGCAAAAACUAUUAUGGAUUGCCAGAUAAUACAUGCACAAGUGCGAGAAAUUUCACCGAUGGUGCAACUUUUAACGGUCGAUAUAGCAAGCCAUUAAUUGAUAUUCAAGGGCAUAAGCCUUGCUUUAAAUCCUUGAAUUUAUCAGACUGUAGAAAGCAAGGACUUCAAUCGUCUUUAUCGACGGGAAGAGGACAGGGGAAUACAAGUCAAGGAAAGAAGAAAAGAUCGGAAGACACUUCAGAGAUUGUCCUGAAAAAGCCCAAGCAUGAGAGCUCUACAGUUUCA